AUGGCCUUCCGGCACAAGCAGCUCGUUCCAUGUCUAUGCAUCCUCCUCUCAUCAAUCAUCUCCUUCGCUCCCUUCUCUCACGCGAAGGAGAUGCCAUGCAUAGGCCCCGACUCAGACCAGGACGGGGAGAGGAACUACACCAUGGACGACGCCGAUUUCGUAUUCAUGGUCGACUAUGAGUCCGGGUUCUCACAAACGCACCACUACAACCUAUCAUCCUAUGCCAAGGCGAAUAGCACAUUGCUAUCCACCGUCCAUCGCUCGAUUGAACUCUGUCGAAGGCGCCCCGACGGGUCGGGGGUCGACGAUGUGUCGUUCAGUGUCAACAUCGUCAUGCGGAUUCAGACGACAGGGGUUGCCACCAAUCACCUCGCCUUCCUCAUCCUCCCUGGAGAGGUCCUUGAGUUUCUCCAGGUAAACGACUCCUUGCCUUUGGCGAAGGAACUGCUGGUCGACACAGAGUUCUCCAGCAUUCGGGGUCUUGACAACCUUACAGAUCGGAGCGGCUCCAUCCCCGGAUCCUACAUGUACGUCAACGUCCAAAUUGGAAUGCUGGUUAGCCCUGUGUGGACGGGCUAUGUUGGCGAACGCGUAGUGGUCGUCAAUAUCACUAUGCUACUAGAUGACUCCAACUAUUCUGUGUGGAUCGACUACAACCGUGUAGGACGGCUGUCGGUCUACGCAGACGUGGAGGGCAAGCCCAAACCUGGCGAAGCCAUGGCCGAGGCGCCCUUCAACAUCGGCAGUGUCAUCUCCCCGACGUCUCCGUUUGUCUAUCUCGGCCUCCUUUCGACAGUGGCGCAGCGGCUCCGUACCAGAGGCAUCCACUUCAACGCGACGGUCGACAACUUCCCUUGCUACACCGCCAAAGGAGGCUUCCUGUCAAGGAAGGUGACCAUAGUGGCAUCCGUCCUUGGGUCGGUAGCCGUCACCGCCAUGGUGGUAGCCAGUGCGGCGUGCUACUUCAACUCGAGGUAUCGGAGGUGGCACAGGGACCUGGACCAGCUCGCCAAGUCCAUGGAGCGCCUCCCGGGGGUACCCACCAAGGUUGACUUUGCUGACAUAAAAAAGGCCACCGCAAACUUCCACGAGGAGAUGAAGCUCGGUGGAGGCGGGUUCGGCACUGUGUACAGGUGCACGCUCCCGGCCACGGCUUCCAAGAUGAAGCGACCGAUGGACGUGGCCAUCAAGAGGUUUACGCGUGAUGUGCAGAACCACCGCUACGACGACUUCCUCGCCGAGGUCAGCAUCAUCAACCGGUUGCGCCACAAGAACAUCGUCCCCCUCAUCGGGUGGUCAUACAACAAAGGAGUGCCACUGCUUGUGUUUGAGUUCAUGACCAAUGGCAGCUUAGACCAACAUCUCUUCCAAAGAGGCGGCAAUAGCACCAGGCAGCGAAACACCGAUGGCGCCAUCCGGCAAUGGGCAACCCGCUACGAGAUCAUCAGAGGCAUAGCCACCGGCUUGCACUAUGUCCACCACGAGUAUGAGCCCAUGGUGCUCCAUCGCGACAUCAAGGCGAGCAACAUCAUGUUGGACUCGAGCUUCCAGGCCCGCCUCGGCGACUUUGGCCUGGCAUGCACUGUCGCCGCCGAUAGGAACUCUGUCACCGGUGUGGGUGGCACUUGGGGCUACAUCGCGCCAGAGUACCCGGUUUGUCGCAAGGCGACACGGCAAACUGACAUCUACGCGCUUGGGGUGCUUAUCCUUGAGGUCGUCACUGGGCUGCGGGCAUUGGCUGACCACGAGGUGGUGGAUGAUGAUGACAUGCAUAUCACCGAUAGGGUGUGGCGUCUUCACCGUGAGGGGAGGCUACUGGAGUGUGUGGAUGCCAUGCUGACCAAUGGUUCUACUCCAGAGGACGAGGAGCAUCUAAAAAAUACUGGUGAUGUGGAACGCCUGCUCCUCCUGGGCUUGGCCUGCAGCAACCCGAAUCCAUCGGACCGACCAACCAUGCCCGAUGUGGUGCGUGUCAUCACCAAGUCUGCACUACCACCACAGGUGCCUCCUCAGAAGCCAAGAUUUGUGUGGCCGCCGCGGGAAGAGGGACGUUCAGUGGCCUCCGAUGAUGGUAGCACAGAUACAUCUAUGAUGAGUAAUCUCGACAAUAGUAUGGCAAGCACCACUGGAGAACAUGCCUCAUUUCAACUCCAACACUCUGUCUACAUCACGGCAAGCAGUGCCUCUGGUCCAUGA
rnacentral:rRNA from 1 species